CUACCAGCUAACGAACGUAGGCGGCCUUUAGAAGCUGCAAAAGGUAAAGAAAUAGCUUCUCCUUUAGAGCCUCAAGAAGGAAUGAAGCUCUGCCAACAGUUUGAUUUUAGCCCCAAACUCUGAUCUUCAAAAUUGUCCAAUUAGUAUGGUGUCACCAAUAUAUGGAUCCAUGCGAUUGAUUAUCUGUGGAGUGUCCGGAUGGUCCAGGACCCUUCAGAUUAUAUUACGAUGGAGAACAGGAAAAUUAACCAAAACCUGGGCAAGACUGCGAAUGUGUGCUACUAUCCAUCCCAGUUCUGGAGGCCGGAGUUGGAAAUCAGUUUCACUGGGCACACAUGGAGGUGUUUGAAGGGCUGCCCGUGCCAGAGGCUCUCAGGGAGAAUCCCUUCCUUGUCUGUUCCAGCUCUACCUCCUCCUCUGCUGUGUGAGUAAAACCUCCCUCGGCCUCUUUGAUUAGGAUAAGGUGUAUUUAGUGUCUAGCAGGACAAUCCAGGAAAUUCUUCCCAUCUCAAGAUCCCUAACUUGAUCCCUUCUGCAAAGACCUGCUUUCACUCCCAUCUGCAAACACCAUUUCCGGGUUCCAGGGAUAAGCCCUGACAUCUGUGGGUGGCCGUUAUUCAGUUACCGACAGUGUGGCAUGAUGAAAAUGAAGUGUUAAAACAAGGACUGCAGUAUUGUUUAUUCCAGCAAAUGGUGAGUGGUCCAUCCUUCUCCAAGCCCUUUCUCUUCUUCUUCUCAUGGUCUCUGGCAUCUGGGAGAGUCCACGUGGCCUGGGUUGGGCUAACAGAUACCAGCAGAAGUGAUGCGUACAACUUCCGGCAACCUAGGUGCACUUGUCUCGCCCUCCCUGGGAGCAGAUCCAUCCUCAAACCUGCAGACAAGGAUAAUGCUGUAGUGGGUACUGAGAAAAAAAAAAAAAAAAAAAAGAAGGAACCUAAAGGAAAUGUUGGAGCAGAAAUACAUUUCUAUCUUAUUCAAGCUGGUAUAUUUUGGACUUCUGUUGCUACAACAGUUUCAUCUUUAUCCUAACGAAUACCCAUACAUGUAUUAGUAAAAAUAUAAAGGUGUCCAGGGAAUAAUGUCAGACUGAGGAGAAUGGGGCUUGGGGGAAGACGGGUGGCAAGAGGAUGUGUAAGGAAUACACAGUUGUAUCUGCAAAAUGUUUUCACUCUUAAGUUCAGUGGCAAACUAACGGAUGUUCUUUAUAUUAUUCUCUAUGCUUUUUUCAAUAUCUGAUUUAUUUUGCUUUAAAAAUCUAUACUAAUAGUGGAUGAGAAAAUAAAUGUCAUAGAAGGGGUAAAUGAUAACAAAUUAUUUGGAUAAAUCACAGAUAAAAGGCUGUUUGACUGCACUGAGCUUUUUCUGGAACACUGCUUGCUUCAUAGGACGAUAAUAAGAAUGAAUCAUGUGUAUUAGAUUUCUUCCCAGGGUGAUCAAGGGUGAGAAUUUGCCCUGCGGGGAAUAAUGUGCUCUAAAUCCAUAUAUUUCCUAUACUUUUAGAUACAAAGACAAAGAAACAGGCAAAGAAACAUCUCUGACAUCAAGAUCAGGAAGUCACAGAGAGUACUUGAGUACACAUUCAGAAGUUUCAAGGAUUUUCUGUUCGUUUAUUAAACCUUAACAUUUGCUGUACAAGUUUUCAACAGGCCAAGGUUAAGUGAAGAAUGAAAAUAAUGUUUAACUCCAUUACAAAA
rnacentral:lncRNA from 1 species